rnacentral:rRNA from 1 species
AGCGAACGCUGGCGGCGUGCUUAACACAUGCAAGUCGAGCGAAGGUGUUUCAAGGGUAACCUUGAGAUACACUUAGCGGCGGACGGGUGAGUAAUACGUGGAUAACUUACCUCUAGGCCUGGGAUAACCCCGGGAAACUGGGGCGUAAUACCUGAUAAGACCACAUUGUCUACGGACAAAGGGUAAAGGUGGCUGUGCAAACAGCUAUCGCCAAAGAUAGGUUCACGUCCCAUCAGGCAGUUGGUGAGGUAAUGGCUCACCAAACCAAAGACGGGUAGCCGGCCUUGGCGGGUGAACGGCCACACGGGGACUGAGACACGGCCCCGACUCCUACGGGAGGGCAGCAGUGGGGAAGUAUUGGGCGAAUGGGCGCAAGCCUGACCCAGCGACGUCGCGUU